UCGGGUAUGGUGUAACGGCUAACAUUGCCGCCUCUCAUAUAGAUCGCGGCAGCUCGGGGUUCGAUUCCCCGUACCCGAA
rnacentral:tRNA from 1 species